CACCUCAGCCUCCUGAGUGAGUAGCUGAGGCUGCACGUGUGUGCCACAACAACCAGCUAAUAAGAAAGCGUUUCCAACUGUUUUUUUGUCUUCCACUCAUGCCUUGCAGGAGAUCCAUAGAAUUCCUCUUACUAAUGUCACUUAAGAGUGAGAAAUAUAAGUCCCGGAGAGGUUAAACAACUUGCCUAAGAACAGGGAGGAUGAUAGUAGCAGAAGGAGUUGCUCCAUUCUUUCUGGAAUCCAUUAACCAAAAGAAAAUCCAUGUUCUUUAAUCAUGUCACAUAACAAGGAGUUUGUUGCCCAUAGAUAAGAGGGAGAAAGGUGGUAAACAUAACAGGACAAAUAUUUAAAAUGGCAGAAGAAAAAUUAGGGUUUUAGAAACAAGAAGAAAAGGGCUAAAUCGGCAUUUUAAAAAUAAAUGGUCUUAGACUGCUGCACCAAACA
rnacentral:lncRNA from 10 species